GACGAACGCUGGCGGCGUGCUUAACACAUGCAAGUCGAGCGGUAAGGCCCUUUCGGGGGUACACGAGCGGCGAACGGGUGAGUAACACGUGGGUGACCUGCCUUUAGCUCUGGGAUAAGCCUGGGAAACUGGGUCUAAUACCGGAUACGACUCCGCGGUGCAUGCUGUGGGGUGGAAAGCCUUGUGCGGCUGGAGAUGGGCCCGCGGCCUAUCAGCUUGUUGGUGGGGUGAUGGCCUACCAAGGCGACGACGGGUAGCCGGCCUGAGAGGGCGACCGGCCACACUGGGACUGAGACACGGCCCAGACUCCUACGGGAGGCAGCAGUGGGGAAUCGUUGCGCAAAUGGGCGAAAGCCUGACGCAGCGACGCCGCGUGAGGGAUGACGGCCU
rnacentral:rRNA from 1 species